AGAAAAUAACCUAUAUGUGGUGGUCCAUUUUCAGUUCUAAGUGCCUUCAUAUAGGUUUAAGCAGGCUAUGUGGAAAUAGAGAAAUAAAGAAGCAGAAAUGUACUGAGUCACCACCCUGCCCUCCUUCCUGCUUUCCCUUUCACCCAGCGGCCACGUGCCUAUCAGUAGGAGCCCCCUCAACUACCCUCUCCUCACCCCACCAAAGAAUUUAGUUUAGGCUAGCUUGCAACAUAAAUAAUUAUACCCUUUCUUAUCAGCUACGUGCAGCCACCAGGGCCAUAGUCAAAUGUUUGAAGAGUCCUGAGACAGUUGCAAUGCAUGGUGGGCUGCAAUAAAAUGCAGCAGAAAGAUCCUAAAGAACAGACUUGAAAUCUUAAUCCAACGACCAAUAGGUGAUGUCCAGGAAGAUCGUAACCCCAUUUACUCAGUCAAUGAGGAACUGGGGGAGGGACCUGCGCACUAGGGGAUAAAUUGCUUGUUGAAACUCUGCUGGGGGUGGCUGCAUGCCAGCCAGACACCCAGUCUUGCAAGACUGUCAUUGAAAAUCUCCGUUUUGCUGUUCUCCGGGUCUCUGCGUCCAGUCUUUGUGUUUGGACGGGUGAGUUUGUUUCUCACAGGUGCGACUCUGUCUCUAUUUGCAUCAGGUUCAGUUUCUUCCUGGUUGACCUUGUGGGUGUGAAUGUUGUCACAGACCUGCCGGGCCAUCUUUCUGCAAGAAGAUAAAGGAAGACCAGGAGUGCCUGCCGAACUCCUAUGGAGGAAGUCUAGGAGAGGAAGGGGUAGGACCAAGGGCACUGCUGUGGGCUGAAGGACAGGGAGGAAGAUGGUGUCUGCAAACCAGGAAGCAGCCUUGCCAGACACAGGAUUGGCCACAACCUUGACCCCAGACUUCCAGCCUCCAGAACUGUGAGAAAUAAAUGUCCAUAUUGACUAGGGGCACAGGGCAUGGGGGAACUGGUUCCAGACCUGCCUCCUGGGAAGUUGGGAGGGGGCAUUUCAACCUGUUAAUUUCUCAAAUUAUGUAGUCAUUCAAAAAGAAAUAGAAACACUUCAUUAUAAUUUGCUCACAUUCAUUAUAAUCCAUUAUUUAAUACAUUUUUCUUCCAUUUGAUCAUAUUACUUGCUGAUAGGAAGGACUGAGUUCAUUUUCAGCGUGUCUGGCUUUUCCAUUUCUGUGGCCUGGGAAGGUGGGUGGCUACAUCAUCAUCCAUGGUCUCUGAAAUAUCCUGUGUUACCAAGGCCUGCUUGUUCCACCAAACUGCUCCAUAGGCAGUUGUGACACCCAGAAAGAUGCUGAUAUGGUUUGGCUGUGUCCCCACCCAAAUCUCAUCUUGAAUUGUAGUUCCCAUAAUCCCCAGGUGUCUGGGAGGGGCCCAGUGGGAGGUAAUUGAGACAUGGGGGCGGGUUUUCCCAUGCUGUUCUUGUGAUAGUGAAUAAGUCCCAAGAGAUUCUGAUGGUUUUAUAAACAGGAAUUUCCCUGCACAGGCUCUCUUGCCUGCCACCAUGUAAGACCUGCCUCUGCUCCUCCUUCACCUUCCGCCAUGAUUGUGAGGCCACCCCAGCCAUGUGGAACUGGACGCCUGCUGGCCACACAUCACCAUGAGGAUGCACUUGACUGAAUCUGGAAGAAUCCCAGGGCUGUGGAAGAUUUUGGAUCAAGAGGCUGGGAGGUGCCCUCUGCCUUUCAAGAUCAGAGAGUAGCUGAUCCCCCUCCUGCCGUCAUUUAUGGACUGAAUAACCACAGAGAGUGUGAGGCCGGCGGAAACUUGGCAGUGCCUGUUUGUCAUUGUCAGUUUCAAAUACUUUUUAAUUUUGAAUAGUUGUAGAUUUUCAGAAGGGUUAUGAAGAUUGUGCAGGCAGUUUCUGCAAGCUGCUGCUAAUUUCCCUCAGCUUCCACGUCUUCGCUGCCAUGGUCCACCUGCAGCAGCCAAGAAAGCCGCGUUGCAUCGCCACGAGCUAAACUCCAGCCUUCGGAUUUCAGAGCUUCCAUCCAUGUCCUCUCUCUGCUGUGACCCCACCUGGGGUGCCACGUCGUGUCUGAUCCUCCUGUGUCCUCGGCUUCUCUGGUCUGUGACAUUUCUGUCUCUCCUUUGCCAUGACCCUGGCAGUGUGGAGGAGACUGUUGGGCACCCUGUGGAUGCCCCUCAGUCUGGGUUCAUCUGUCCUUUUCCUCAUGGUUAGCCUGAGGUGGUGGGCUUCCGCAAAUAAUACCAAGGAGGUGAAAUGUUCUUCCCCUCACGGCCUCUCAGGGGCAUAGAACAUCCUCUUGACUUCACAGGUGGCGUUAACCCGAUCGCUUGUGUGAAAAUAACGCAUCGGGAGGCACUAGGCUGAGGGCUUCAGUACCUCAGAAGCAAACCCAGUUCCUGCACACAGAAACCCCAUUCAGGGUAAGGGGUCCUGUCCUAGGAAAGAAAAUUCAAGUUUAAACAGAAACUGCCAGCUAACCUCAAAGCAGAGGCCGUGUGACUGCUGUUUCACUUCAAUCCAUCCUUUUUCUGUUCUUCCUUCCAAGAACACUGAUGAAGGUUUUCCUUGUGCUCCUUGGUAGAGCCCAAACUGCUGUAGUUCAGUGCUGCCCAGCUCAUGGAUUCCUGUCUCCUCAAAUAACUCUUUACACUUUCACGUGCCUACGUUUAUCUUCUAACACUUGGAUCAGGUGGCGUCCGCCAGGUGUCUUCGCUGUAAAGUCACUGUCUUCCCUUCCACCGCUCCACUCUUUGGGAUGAGUCACGAAGCCUGUGCUACCUUCAGGGGAGGGCUGGGGAAGAGUUAAACUCCAUCUCCUGGAGGGGCUGCUACAUAUGAUCAUAUGAUGUUAUUUGGAGUAAGAAAGAUUUGCCUCUUCUCCACA
rnacentral:lncRNA from 1 species